rnacentral:rRNA from 1 species
UACAGAGGUCUCGAGCGUUAGGCGGAAUCACUGGGCUUAAAGCGUGUGUAGGUGGAUGCCUAAGUACCUUGUGAAAUCCCUCAGCUUAACUGGGGAACUGCGUCUGAGACUGGUGGGCUUGAGUGCAGGAGAGGAACGCGGAAUUCCAGGUGUAGCGGUGAAAUGCGUAGAUAUCUGGAGGAACACCGGUGGCGAAGGCGGCGUUCUGGACUGUUACUGACACUGAUGAACGAAAGCCAGGGGAGCAAACGGG